UACGUAGGGAGCAAGCGUUGUCCGGAAUCAUUGGGCGUAAAGAGCGUGUAGGCGGUCAGGUAGGUCCGUUGUGAAAACUCGAGGCUCAACCUCGAGACGCCGAUGGAAACCAUCUGACUAGAGUCCGGAAGAGGAGAGUGGAAUUCCUGGUGUAGCGGUGAAAUGCGCAGAUAUCAGGAAGAACACCCGUGGCUAAGGCGGCUCUCUAGUACGGUACUGACGCUGAGACGCGAAAGCGUGGGGAGCGAACAGG
rnacentral:rRNA from 1 species